rnacentral:rRNA from 1 species
UACGUAGGGGGCAAGCGUUGUCCGGAAUCAUUGGGCGUAAAGCGCAUGUAGGCGGCUCGGUAAGUCUGCUGUGAAAGUCCAGGGCUCAACCCUGGGAUGCCGGUGGAUACUGUCGAGCUCGAGUCCGGAAGAGGCGAGUGGAAUUCCUGGUGUAGCGGUGAAAUGCGCAGAUAUCAGGAGGAACACCAAUGGCGAAGGCAGCUCGCUGGGACGGUACUGACGCUGAGACGCGAAAGCGUGGGGAGCAAACAGG